GGCCUACGGGGGGCAGCAGUGGGGAAUAUUGGGCAAUGGGCGCAAGCCUGACCCAGCAACGCCGCGUGAAGGAAGAAGGCUUUCGGGUUGUAAACUUCUUUUAAGAGGGACGAAGGAAGUGGCGGUACCUCUUGAAUAAGCCACGGCUAACUACGUGCCAGCAGCCGCGGUAAUACGUAGGUGGCAAGCGUUAUCCGGAUUUAUUGGGUGCAAAGGGCGUGUAGGCGGGAGCGCAAGUCAGAUGUGAAGA
rnacentral:rRNA from 1 species